rnacentral:rRNA from 2 species
GGACUACAAGGGUAUCUAAUCCUGUUUGAUCCCCACGCUUUCGUGCCUCAGCGUCAGUUACAGUUUUGUGAGCUGCCUUCGCAAUCGGUGUUCUGUGCCAUAUCUAAGCAUUUCACCGCUACAUGGCACAUUCCGCCCACAUCAUAUGUACUCAAGAUCAGCAGUAUCGAUGGCAGUUCUGUUGUUAAGCAACAGGCUUUCACCACUGACUUACUGUUCCGCCUACGCACCCUUUAAACCCAAUAAAUCCGGAUAACGCUCGGGUCCUUCGUAUUACCGCGGCUGCUGGCAC